UUUAGUCUCGCUGGGAUACUAUCAAUAGCACCAAGCACUUGAUGCUACCGAGUUUUUUGCCUUUAGAUUUAACCCUUUGACUAUUUUUACCCGUUAGAUUAUACUAUUAAACCAACAACUCACUCAACCCUAGGGAGCCCACAUCAUCCUAACCGUACGUUUCUUCAUCCAAGGGCCAAAAACCUAAUAGCACCAACAACUUGGUGCUAUUGAUAGCAUUCCAGCCUAAUUAUAUAUAUAGUGAGGCUACUAUGCUAUCGGAAGCACGAAGCCUUCCGUGCUUCCAACUCGUUUUCGAUGUUGCGACUUUCGAAUCGUCGAUUGGCUCUAUUAAACUUGAUCUAGAGUAUUUUGAGUACCUAGAAAAUAAAUUUUAUUAUUUUUCGAUAUCAUUUGCCUAGUGAUCGAAUGGGCUCAAAAUCAACAAAUUUCAAUGGCCGUAGUGAGCCGUUUGCAAGUUUAACGGUGUAGAAAUAUCCAAAUCACGUGAAAUUUUGAUAGAAAAUUCUUUAUACUAUAUAAAACAAGAUCAAUAUCUUUGAUUUAAAAUUUUAAUGUCAUAUUAUUACAUUUUGUAAGAUUUUUAUUUUCAACCGUUGAUUUUGAGCCCCUUCGUUCACUAGGCAAAUGAUAUCGUAAAAUCAUAAAAUUUAUUUUCUUGGUACUUCAAAUACUCUAGAUCAAGUUUAAUGGAGCCGAUCGACGAUUCGAAAGUCGCAACAUCGAAAACGAGCUGGAAGCAAGGAAGGCUCCGUGCUUCCGAUAGUAUAAUUGCCUUACUCUAUAUAUAUAUAUACAU
rnacentral:lncRNA from 1 species